rnacentral:rRNA from 1 species
UACGAAGGGGGCUAGCGUUGCUCGGAAUGACUGGGCGUAAAGAGCUCGUAGGCGGACUGUUGCGUCUGCUGUGAAAAGCUGGGGCUUAACCCUGGCCUUGCAGUGGAUACGGGCAGACUAGAGGUAGGUAGGGGAGAAUGGAAUUCCCGGUGUAGCGGUGAAAUGCGCAGAUAUCGGGAGGAACACCGGUGGCGAAGGCGGUUCUCUGGGCCUUACCUGACGCUGAGGAGCGAAAGCGUGGGGAGCGAACAG